GGAAGGAUGCCGGAGAGGCCGAUCUGUCCCGGCCGGAACCCGGUGAGUCGCGGCGACGCGACAUGAGCGUUCGAAUCGCUUUCCUUCCGCCA
rnacentral:tRNA from 1 species